rnacentral:rRNA from 1 species
AGAGUUUGAUCCUGGCUCAGGAUGAACGCUGCGUAUGCUUAACACAUGCAAGUCGAACGAAUCCCUUCGGGGAUUAGUGGCGGACGGGUGAGUAACGCGUGAGAAUUUACCAAAAGGACUGGGACAACCACUGGAAACGGUGGCUAAUACCGGAUGAACCGAAAAGUAAAAAGGGAAACCUGCCUUUUGAAGAGCUCGCGUCUGAUUAGCUAGUUGGUGAGGUAAGAGCUCACCAAGGCAGCGAUCAGUAGCUGGCUGAGAGGAUGACCAGCCCACUGGGACUGAGACACGGCCCAGACUCCUACGGGAGGCAGCAGUGGGGAAUUUUCCGCAAUGGCGAAAGCUGACGGAGCAAUCCGCGUGAGGGAAGAAGGCUCUUGGGUCGUAACCUCUUUUAUCAGGGAAGAAAAAAAUGACGGUACCUGAAGAAUCAGCCUCGGCUACUCCGUGCCAGCAGCCGCGGUAAUACGGAGGAGGCAAGCGUUAUCCGGAAUUAUUGGGCGUAAAGCGUCCGCAGGUGGCUUAUCAAGUCUGCUGUCAAAGAGUGGGGCUUAACCCCAUUAAGGCAGUGGAAACUGAGAAGCUAGAGUGCCGUAGGGGUAGAGGGAAUUCCCGGUGUAGCGGUGAAAUGCGUAGAGAUCGGGAAGAACAUCGGUGNNGAAAGCGCUCUACUGGACGGCAACUGACACUCAGGGACGAAAGCUAGGGGAGCGAAUGGGAUUAGAUACCCUAGUAGUCC